AACGCGAAGAACCUUACCCAGAUUUGACAUGCUUGUGAAAGCCUGUUGAAAGACAGGUCCUGUCUUCGGACACACUUGCACAGGUGGUGCAUGGCUGUCGUCAGCUCGUGCCGUGAGGUGUUGGGUUAAGUCCCGCAACGAGCGCAACCCUCGUCCUUAGUUGAAUUUCUAGGGAGACUGCCGGGAGAAACCUGGAGGAAGGUGGGGAUGACGUCAAGUCAUCAUGCCCUUUAUGUCUGGGGCUACACACAUGCUACAAUGGCCGGCACAACGGGUUGCCACUUCGUGAGAAGGAGCUAAUCCCUUAAAUCCGGCCUCAGUUCGGAUUGCAGGCUGCAACUCGCCUGCAUGAAGUCGGAGUUGCUAGUAAACGCAGGUCAGCAUACUGCGUUGAAUAUGUUCCCGGGCCUUGUACACACCGUAGUAC
rnacentral:rRNA from 1 species